ensembl:lncRNA
AAACCUUCGGUCUGCGGAAAUGAUUCCUGGACUGUGUGUCAAGGAAAUGCUCCACUUCCUGCUGUUUACACAGACUUCCUCCGACUACGGUUCAGCCAACAUGUCCUACGGACCCGAGGACCAGGGAGGUGAGCCUUUGGGCUCCUGGCUUCACGCGCAUUCCUGCCCACGCCUCUCCCGAUAAACAACACGUCAUCCUCUAAAACUACAAAGAUGGCGGCUCACCGCGAGGUGACCAGCAGCAGCGUCCCCCUCCUGACCCCACCCCGGCCAGAUCCCACCAACUCUCUCCCGGUCCCCGUUCCGGAUCCAAGUCCCAUCAUCAACCCCAAGAGGGGAGUGGCCGCCGGGGCCACGCAGACCCAGGCCCCGCAGCCCCCGGGGGCCUGUGGCCCCCCGGGGCCCUACAGACCCUGCUGGAGCCUGGACCUGAAGGUGGCCGUGCUCCUGCUGACCGUCGCUGGAGCGCUGAUCCUGUUGCUGUUGUACAGACUGCUACGGCUGAGGCACAGGUUACAGAUGGCCCGCAGCAGGCCCUCUCUGGAAUACUACCGCUUCUACCACGCCGCCGGCUACACCCUCAAACAUCCCCCGCCGGCCCCAGCUCCACCCGGCCACAACGGCAACACACCGGAUGUUCACGCACCCAUUCAAACCAUGACACCGCCGCC